UGGGCCUUUUUCUAACCCGUCAGAGCUUUUCAGAAUUCCUAGGGUUUUGAACAAAUUAACCUCUCCCCAAAAUUCACAGUCACGUUUCACAUCUCCCAGCAGGGCUUAGCAAUUCUCAGCUUUUUGAUUUUGAAGAACUGAUCCUGCUUUCUUGAUUGCCAUAAAUACAGGUUUUGGGUUUAGCGGGUUGGCUUCUUCGAGUUUUCAGAGGUGGAAAUGUAACCCGAUAACCGUACCAUUCUAGAUUCGGGUUCAAUCAUCUUUUUUUGAUUUUCUGGCCUACUCCAUUCCGCCUGUAAGAUGUUUCGGGUCGUCGUUCUUCCUCAUUCAAUUUGGUACACUUCAAGAGCUUGGACCUAAAUGAUCUAGUUGGUGGUACAGAGAUUGGACCAGAAUGGUGUAAGGUAAACGUUCAAGUACAAAUAAAAAAAGAUGAAAACUUGGUAAGACCAUAUGGUUUAUUUUCUACAAUUCAAGAUUGUAUUGGUGCAUCCAUCGCAUGGCCCUAUCCAUUCAUCUCGGUAGUCUAUGAGGAUUGAGGACACAUGAUGACUAAAGAUUUUAUGCUUCUUAUUUCUUUAAUUGCUUUUAAUUUCUUUGUUAAAUGUUAAGACUUUAUGUUAGAUAAUGUUAUAACUUAUUUAUGGUUAGUGUUUUUGUUAAGAACAUGCUUAUUUGAAGUAUAAUGAUUCUUUCAUUAGUUGAUGUUAUACAAUAACUAUUAGGAUGUUAUAUGUUGAAGGUCUGU
rnacentral:lncRNA from 1 species